rnacentral:rRNA from 1 species
CCCUACGGGGCGCAGCAGUCGCGAAACCUCCACAAUUCACGAAAGUGUGAUGGGGCCAACCCGAGUGCCGUCCGAUAAGGAUGGCUUUUCCUCAGCGUAAGGAACUGGGGGAAUAAGGAGAGGGCAAGACUGGUGUCAGCCGCCGCGGUAAUACCAGCUCUCCGAGUGGUGGGGACGCUUAUUGGGCUUAAAGCAUCCGUAGCCGGUUGGGCAAGUCCUUCGUUAAAUCCAACGAUUCAAUCGUUGGGCUGCGGGGGAUACUGUCUGGCUAGGAGGCGGGAGAGGCCGACGGUAUUUCCGGGGUAGGGGUGAAAUCCUAUAAUCCCGGGAGGACCAUCAGUGGCGAAGGCUGUCGGCUGGAACGCGCUCGACGGUCAGGAAUUGGCGGGGGAGCAC